GGGACACGCAGAGAGGUCGCUGCUGCUGCCGGCCCUGCGGGAGCCCGGGGCUCAGGAGGGCGCUGCCAGCUCUGGCUGCGCUGUCCCCGCUGCCCAGAGCUGCGGCAGCAGCUGCGGAGACAAGCGCAGCCUCCGGGAGCUCGGCGCUGCCCGCAGCCCCGGCCCCUGUGGCUCUGCAGCCGCUGCAGCCCAGCUCCGUGCCGGGACAGGCGCUGACAGCGGCUGCGAGCUGCCGCCUGCUGCUGGCCCGGGGCAGCUGCGGCUCGGAGUCCGCCUGCCGAGGGCCGAGAGCCAGCAGCGCCGGGCUGCUCGCCGCUGUGCCCCGCAUUGCCUGCCCCGGCGCCUUGGAGCCCGGGCACACCGAGCUCAGCCGGCACGGCCGCUCUGGCUCCCUGCCCGUGUGAAAAUGACCAGAUAACUUUGGCUUUCACAUUUACCUAUUCGCCCAUGCAUGUUGUUAGUGAUUACAGUUAUUUCGAUAUAGUAUCAAUUAUAACUCUUUUUAGGUCAAUGCUAAUAUAAUAUAUAAUAUAUAAUAUUCAGCUUAAUUAUGCACUGCAUUGCUCAUAGAAAUAGUAGUGUGAAGUAUAUAACAUCUAUGUAUCACUUAUGGAAAUAACAUGAAUGUACUGUUAUUGAUCUUAACAAAACAUCAGAAGUGAAAAAUUAUUUUGGUGACUAAAAACAGUGUGAAUUCAUCCACUGAGUCACCCAUCCAAUUGUUAUAUGUAGAUAAUGAUAUUAUUUGCUCUUGCAAUUAAAAGAGAAAUAUUGGGUGAAUAUUAAGAAAAGCUUUAGUGAUGUAUAGUUAUGUUGUUGUAGUUCAGGUGUCUCUGUUUUCCCCGUAGUUCCCUUUUCCCUUUGUAUUGUACCCAUCAGACAGCAGGGGGUGUCCAGGACAGGUAGAAGAAAAGCGUGCACAUGUGCACCUUGCAUGGGGCAGUUGAUAAUAGAAAAGCGUGUUGCUUAGGGAGCGAGGCAAGGCAACACUUGACCUCCAAUCCAGUUACAAGAACGCAGUCUCCACCCAUAAAUGGCAAGGAAGAGCUGACUGACAGACUUUGGGAGCGGCCAGGGCUGGCUGAUGCAACCCCCAGGAGUAUAAAAGCCUGAGCACCCAUCUUGAAGUGGAACUGGCAAGCAGUUGUUUCUCACACAAGUGGUAAGAUAACUGUGACACAAACCAGAACACUGGAGGACAAGCAGAGAAGACCAUGUUAAAAUUAAGGAGGACAGCUAAAAUAUUACCAGAGGGUGUGAAACAGCAGGCUGGAGGCACCGGAAGAAAUAAAAAAUAUUAACCGCACAGCCAGGACAUCAUGCAUGCAAGUCUGAGUGUGAAGGAGUCAGAAAAAGGAGUUCCCAAAACAUUAGAAAGUUCGAAAGAAUGUCUGAAUAAUGCAUCAAAGACACGAAUAUAUAACACAGCAGAGUGGGGGUUGUUCUGCACUAUGGCUGUGAUCCACUGGGAGCUCUUCAGUGUUUCAUUGCUAUGGAUCCAUGAAUGCUGGGAGAAUAUUGUCUCAAAUUCCUGAGGCAGUCACUGCUGAUGUCUUGGUUCCAUCAGGUGGACUCACUGAUUUUUAGAACAGGCAUUGUUCAUAAGAUGUCAUUACCUUGUUUAUAGCUGGCUUUUCACAAACUUUGGCACAUCUUUGUGUAACUGCCCACAGACACGUGUCACUUUGGCAUCUCUGGUUUGUUCUGCAGCUGCAGGUGCCUCUCUCUGAACAGGCUGUCUGCAGCCUUCCCUGCACUGCCUCCUCAGCCUUUGGUCCCUUCUCUUGUUUCAGCAGGGCUGCUGUGCCUUGACCCAGGGCUGGCUCCUGAUUCUCCUGUGGUUUCAGAGCUCCAGGAUAAGAUCUCUGGGCUCUGUGGAAAGCCCCAUCUGAGCUGAGGCUCCUGUGGUCUGUACCGACCCCUGUGUGACACAUCCUUGUGGGACAGGGCUGUGAGCUGCUGAGGGCAAGGCUGCUCUGCUCUGUGGCAAUCAGACACAGCCCCAGGUAUUCUCCCAGGAGCACUGCAGCAGUUUGCUGUCUUUGGGCAUCUCACAGCUGCUAUUAUUGACAGACUUGCUUUUAAGGUGUGUGAGGGAGACCCUCCCACUGAGGGUCUGGGCUCUGGCCAGGCCCUGCCUCCACCUGCUCGGAAAAUUGCCAACAAACCCAGGUGUUUUCUGCCUCAAAACUCGAUUCAAGUCUCUUGCACUUG